AAGAAAUGAAAGAAAUGGAAGAAGAAAUGAAAAAAACGAAAGAAAUGGAAGAAGAAAUGAAAAAAACGAAAGAAAUGAAAAAAACGAAAGAAAUGGAAGAAACGAAAGAAAUGGAAGAAACGAAAGAAAUGGAAGAAGAAAUGAACAGAAUAUGACGGAACGGAUAAAUGAAAAAGAAUUAUUUGGUAACACAAUAAAAAAAAAAGAUUUAAAAAAACAUAAUGAGUUAGCUUCUUUUGCAUUAAUGAGAAAUAAAAAGAAUACAAUAAGUCAUGAUAAUUCCCAGUAUACUGAUAAAUUUUAUAAUAAUAGUAAUGGGUAUAAUAAUAGUAAUGGGUAUAAUAAUAGUAAUGGGUAUAAUAGUAAUAAUGGGUAUAAUAGUAGUAAUGGGUAUAAUAGUAGUAAUGAAUAUAAUGAUAAUAAUAUUAUUGAUGAUAACAAUCGUCGUACCUCUUUUAAUUCAAGAUUCUCAAAUGAGGAUAUAUGUAAUGGUGAUAAAUAUAAAGAACCAUUUUAUAAUAAAAAAAAAAAAUUUAAAAAUUAUAAUAGUUGUAUAUAUAAAGUUGAAUAUCAUAGAGAUAAUAAAAAUGGAAUGUAUUACAAAAAAUCAUUUUAUUGUCCAAGAAAACAGAUUCCAAAUAAAGGAAUGGAUCGUUAUGGUGAAUGUUUAAACGAAUAUUCUAUAAAAAGGUAUAAAUAUAAAAAUAUGGAUCAUAAUAGUAUUACUAAUGGUAAUGGUGAUAGUGAUAGUCAGAUUAAUGAAGAUAUGAGUUUUGUUAAUAGCGAUAGUGGUGUUAAUGACCAAGAUGUUUUCAAUAAACGUAGAGGUGGUAUUAAAACACGUGAUAAUGGUUAUAACAAUGAACAAUAUUCAUGUACUUCUCAGGGUACUACACAAGAUGUUAUAAACAAAGACAAUUUUUUUAGAAGCCUGUCUUCUGAAACAUAUAAACAUUGUCAUAAUAAUAACAAUAAUAAUAAUAAUAAUAAUUAUAAUAAUAAUAAUAAUUAUAAUAAUAAUAAUUAUAAUAAUAAUAAUAAUAAUUAUAAUAAUAAUAAUAAUUAUUAUGAAAGGAAUGAAAGGAAUGAAAGUGAUUUUGAAUCCAACUUAAAAAACGAUAAACACGAUUCAUUUAGAUAUUACACAGAAAUAAAAAAUAAAACAUAUAAUUAUAAUGUAAAAGAGGAAAAAAAGGAAGAAGAAGAAGAAAAAAAAAAGGGAUACAAUAAAUAUGAAAAGGAAAAGGAAAGAGAAAAGGAAUGGGAAAAGGAAAGAGAAAAGGAAUGGGAAAGGGAAAGAGAAAAGGAAUGGGAAAGGGAAAGAGAAAAGGAAACGGAAAGAGAAAGAGAGAAAGAAAAAGAACAGGAAAGAAAGAAAGAAAAGGAAAUGUAUGAAAAGGAAAUGUAUGAAAAGGAAAUGUAUGAAAAAAGGAUGUACGAAAAGAGAAUGUAUGAAAAGAAGAUGUAUGAAAAGAAGAUGUAUGAAAAAGAUAUGUAUGAAAAGGAGAUGUAUGCAAAGGAAAUGUAUAAUAGAAACAUACAUGAUAGGUAUAUACACGAUAAAAAUAUAUACAAUGAUGGUCAUGAAAACUAUAAUAAUUAUACACAUUAUGAAGAUUUUAAAGAAAAAAAAAAAAAGUUGAGCAUACUGAUGCUGAUGAUAUGGUUACAACAGAUUGGUAUUUAAAUACGAAUGGAGAAAAAGACGUAAAGGUAGGUGAUGGUACACAAGAAACAGCAACACAUACAGUAAUAAAUAAAAAUACAAUAAAAAAAUAACA
ensembl:lncRNA